GUCCACAAGACGCCGCCACCACAAUGAUGAUGUCACUGAGUCCACUGCUGCUCACCCUGGGCCUCCUUGUUCACGGAUCAUCAGGAGACAUCGUCCUGACUCAGACUCCUGGAUCUCAGUCUGUAGCUCCAGGACAGACUGUCUCCAUCACUUGUAGAACAAGCUCACGUGUCAGCAGCUGGUUCAACUGGUUUCUCCAGAAGCCUGGUGAAGCUCCUAAACGCCUAAUUUAUGAUGCAUCAUCCCGUGCGUCUGGAGUUCCAGAUCGUUUCAGUGGACAAGGAUCAGGGACACAGUUCACUCUCACCAUCAGCAGAGUCCAGCCUGAAGAUGCAGGAGUUUAUUAUUGUCAGCAGCAUAACAGUUACCCGUUCACACAGUGAAACAAGGUCGUACAAAAACCUCCGUCAGCUGAAGAGGAACUGAUCUGACUCCACUGCUCCACACAAGUGGAGACACUUCACAUCUGCUCAUGUUCACGUUGAAGAACUUUGAGAAUUUUUUUGACUUCACACUUUUGAUGAUUUAUUAGUUUUUCUAACUUCACUACCUAUCAACUACCUCUCAAUAUUUCUGCUGAUUCGUCACCAAAGUCUUAUUUAAAAUAAGUGCACGCAACUUCAGAGACAUUCUUCAUAUAGAUUUCAUUUCACUAUUAAUGUUGGACAUGAUCUGCUGAUGAUGUUCUCAGUGAAGUUUACAAAUAUCUCACUUUGCUGUCGGUGGUUUGGAAAAGAAUCAAGAGGAAGAAACUAUA